UUCCCCUUUUUUGCUUUGCCCUCUUAAGGCAGACUGUGCUUUAAGUGGCCAACACAGGGGGGUAUAGUAAUUCUCUCUCAAACCCAGAGGUGAGAUUAAAACUCUUCUCUGGAUCCUGUCGGGAGGAACAAAC
ensembl:snoRNA